GAGGGUGUAGCUCAGUGGUUAGAGCGCAUACUUAGCGUGCACAGGGUCCUGGAUUCAAUCCCCAGUACCUCCA
rnacentral:tRNA from 1 species